ACAUUUUGGUCAGCUCUUUGCUAUUAUUAUCAUUUUUCAAAAAUUUUAGGACUUACUGAAAAAGAAAAUGUAAGGAUCUAAAUACCAACGGCCUUUUCCACUGUUUUUCAGGAGAUGAGGAUGAUAACUUCAAAAACGAAUGAGGCAAGGAUCCAGGACAGCUCUCAGGGAGUUGUGAUGAGAAAGGCGAUACACAACCACAGAAGAAGCAGACAGGAUCCGAAAGCAGAUUGAAACAUACUAUUCUUUACUUUAUUUCCUCCAUGAAUUUUUCUCUAGUGUUCCUGCACUGCUGGCUUAACUGGAGACUCAGGAAGGGGACUGCCAGAGAAUGGAGGCCACUUGUACCGGUGGAGGAGGUGUGUGUGCAUGUUCUCUCCCAUGCUUAGAACACAGACCUGUAAGUCCACCAGCACAGGGAACUCUUGGUGUGGAAACUCCCUCCAGUGAUGCAAAUCAGCAACUCACUUAUAACUUCGAUUCUCCAAGAGUUGCCUGGAACACCGUGUGGUUAAGACUCUUGCUUAUGGUCACAUGGCUACAAUGUGCCAAAGGUUGACCUUGAACUCAAGUCUUUUUUUAACUCCAAGACCACUCUGUCACCGAACGUCUCUUUCAAGUCCAGCCAACUCAAACCUCAGGAAUAAUUUUCUGCUUUUAGAAACUACACAUGAAUCCAAAUUAAAAGCUUUCAUCAUGCUUCCCUUCCCAUUCUCCACUGCCUUUUUAAGACUUAACUUUGAAUCUCAUCAGCAUGGUAUAGUGGGUAGAAUAUACAACGUACAGUCAGGAAGCUCUGGGUUCAAACCUGUAUAUAGACAGUUCUAGCUGUGACAAUGGAUGAGUCAUGCCACCCAGUCUUGGAAUUUCCAUUUCCCCAUCUGGAAAAUUAAGGGUUUGGACACAACCACUAAGUUCCCUUUUACCUUCUAUAAAUCCAUGACUCUAUAUGGUACAACACAUUGUAUCCUAAAGCCUCAUUUUUUCCAUCUGUAAAAUGAGUUGACCUAGAUGAUCUUUCAACUACCAUCUGGUUAUGGCCUCCCAUGACUCUAUCCUCAUAGUCUUACUUAUUUGGGGAAAAGUUCAGAAUUGGAAGACCCUCCUAGUGGUGCAGCACUCUGAAGAGCUGAUGGCACUUGUGUGAUAAUCAUGCAGGUGGUUCAUAGCAGAUUUGGGGCUCAAACUCAUUUUCUGACUAUAAAUUCAGUGCCCUGUAUAUUGCGCCACACCUUUUAAUUGAGCUGAAAAGACAUCAGAGAACAUCUAGCCAAAUACCUUCCCAUAACUUAAAUCUGCUCUGCCACAGAAAUGCAAUCAUUUGACUUCUUCUUGAAUACUUCUGAUGAUAUACAACUCUCUACCUUUUGGAGCAGCUUCUUUCAUUAUGAGAUAACUUAGAUUAAUAGGUACCCUUGCCUUAUGAUGACCUCAAAUCUGUCUCCAAUGAGCUUCCCCUAACCUAACCUCUGGUCCUUUGUUCCUAUAUAUCUUGUGGAACCCGAGCCAAGUAGAAAAAAUCAAAUCCCUCUUCUCUGUGACUUAUUUUUAAAAAAAUGUAUUCUCCCCAAAUUAUUUCCUUUCAGAAUUGUUUUGCUCCUCUCUUGUCUGACUUUUAAAAUGAGCUUCUCCAACAUUCCAUGCUCCAGAACAUUUGGGGGUUAACUAAACCUCCCCUUAUCUCUCUUCCCCUGAUGAAUUCAAUAAAUAAAGUUUGAUGAUAAACAGAGCCUGAAGUUCCUGAGCCUUAUGAAAGAACUCUACUUGCUAGUCAAGAACUCUUUGUCAGUAGCAGAAUAUGUAUUCUAUGUCUUCAUAUUUUGAGC